GGUGAUUUGGUCCUGUCAGGUGCUGGUGGGUCCUGAUUCUGUGCUGGUGGGUUUGUUUACAUUGUAUCAGAACGGCAAUAAAACGACUGUUUUGUUGCUUAAUUUUUCUCUGAUGCGUCAUAAGUACCAUGCAAAGUAUAUUACAACAAUAUUAUAUUGCAAAAGUCGUGCAAGUUCGUUAAACGGAAUUGUCCUGACGCAGUGCUGGUGAUAAGAAAAACGGUCCUGGUUCUGUGCUCCUAUGUCCUGGUUCUGUGCCUUUAUAUUUUAGUUAAAAGUGGCAUAUAUUCAAGAUCAUUGAUGCUGUACUGUUAUUGGCUAAUUAACUGUUGUCUGCUUUCUUGAAAUUGACAUUGUUGUGAAUCUGUUUACUGUUAUUAUGAGAGAAAAAAUACCCCUAUAUUUUUAUUUUUUUUUUAAAUUAACUGUAAUCUUAUUUAUUGGCCUGUUAAUGGAACCCUUCUUGCACCCUUUUAAGAUAAGAAAAUAUGUUUACGAUUUUCGGGAUUACGAUCAUUUUGCAAGAUCACCAAAAUACGUUGUAAAUUAUACAAUACUUAUAUAAAGUAGAUGAUGUGGUAUGUUUGUUGUCAAUGGACAAAUUUCCAUAAGAAACCAAAGGAAGUAUGUGUUAACAACCAUACGUCAUCGUACGACCUUCAACAAUAACCCAUAAAAUAAAAAUGUAAAAGGUUUUGCAUAAAAAUGGAGAGCAA
rnacentral:lncRNA from 1 species